GAUGAACGCUGACAGAAUGCUUAACACAUGCAAGUCUUUGGCGAAGCUGUGCUUGCACAGCCUAGCCAAGGCGGACGGGUGAGUAACGCGUAAGGAACUUGCCCUGCAGUCAGGGAUAACAGACGGAAACGACUGAUAAGACCUGGUAAAGUCAGGCGGACUCAUGUCCAGCCUGAUGAAAAGAGAUGCUGCAGGAGAGCCUUGCGUCCUAUUAGCUUGUUGGUGGGGUAACGGCCCACCAAGGCGAUGAUAGGUAGCCGGCCUGAGAGGGUGGACGGCCACAAGGGGACUGAGAUACGGCCCUUACUCCUACGAGAGGCAGCAGUGGGGAAUAUUGGACAAUGGGGGCAACCCUGAUCCAGCAAUUCUGUGUGCACGAUGAAGGUUUUCGGAUUGUAAAGUGCUUUCAGCGGGGAAGAAAAAAAUGACGGUACCUGCAGAAGAAGCGACGGCUAAAUACGUG
rnacentral:rRNA from 1 species